AGUGAACGCUGGCGGUAGGCCUAACACAUGCAAGUCGAACGGCAGCACAGUAAGAGCUUGCUCUUACGGGUGGCGAGUGGCGGACGGGUGAGGAAUACAUCGGAAUCUACUUUUUCGUGGGGGAUAACGUAGGGAAACUUACGCUAAUACCGCAUACGACCUACGGGUGAAAGCAGGGGAUCUUCGGACCUUGCGCGAUUGAAUGAGCCGAUGUCGGAUUAGCUAGUUGGCGGGGUAAAGGCCCACCAAGGCGACGAUCCGUAGCUGGUCUGAGAGGAUGAUCAGCCACACUGGAACUGAGACGCGGUCCAGACUCCUACGGGAGGCAGCAGUGGGGAAUAUUGGACAAUGGGCGCAAGCCUGAUCCAGCCAUACCGCGUGGGUGAAGGAGGCCUUCGGGUUGUAAAGCCCUUUUGUUGGGAAAGAAAAGCAGCAGGUUAAUACCCCGCUGUUCUGACGGUACCCAAAGAAUAAGCACCGGCUAACUUCGUG
rnacentral:rRNA from 1 species